UUGACCUCAAAUCAGGUAGGACUACCCGCUGAACUUAAGCAUAUCAAUAAGCGGAGGAAAAGAAACUAACAAGGAUUCCCCUAGUAACUGCGAGUGAACGGGAAAAGCUCAAAUUUAAAAUCUGGUAG
rnacentral:rRNA from 1 species